AGCAGUAUGGCCUAUUGGAAAGAGCAUAGGCCUGGGAGUCAGAGGAUCUGGGUUCUAAUCCUGGUUCUGCUA
rnacentral:tRNA from 1 species